GAAGAAAUCCAGAUGGUAAGAUACAGGGAUGAAAGUUUAAAUCGUGCCUUAUCAUAAAAGAUAGCUUACUAUAGCAGCUUUAUGAAUUUAACGGUUCUCUAUCGAUACCUUUGCUUCAACUCUAACUUCAUUUUGUGCUUUCCUUUCUGGAGAAGAGUUUGAAAGAAUUUCUACAAAAUCAUCUUGUAACCUGGAUGAGAGAUCAAUGAACUGAGGUAUGUCGAUUUCAUAGUUGUUCCAUUUGAGGCUUAUUUGUUUGUUUAGGUUAGCUUUGUUUAAUUUUUCUUCCUUUCCUGCACAUCUGAAGAAGUGCUAUUUAAAUAUCUUCCUAACUCAAAUUUUCCUUCUAGAGUUUGUGGUCUAGCUCCAUGCCUGCAACUCCCUUCUUUCCCCUCACUUGUUCCUAUUGGGAUUUGCACUCGAUAACUAAAAAAAUAAUCCAGUGCUAGUUGUUCUUGGCUUUGUUCAUGGUUGACAGUGAAAUCUUUGAUGCCCCGUUUUUAUCUUUGCCUCACUGGAGGUGGUGAUAUUUUCUUCACAUCCGGCGUUUCUUCAGAAAAGCAGAAGAGAAAGAGAAGACAAGCAGUCAUGCUUCGUUCAGAAUUGAAAUGUAGAGCUUUUAAAUAUUAUAUAGUUUUUCUGGUGACAUUACAUUGUAGUUAAAGUA
rnacentral:lncRNA from 1 species